rnacentral:lncRNA from 10 species
CUGUGGAGCCCUGAACAAAUUACCCAACCUUUAUGAGCCUCAGUUUCCUCAUGUAACAUGGGGAUAGUAAUAGCACUUACUUUCUGCGGUGGUGAUUGUUAGUAAUGGAGGGAGAUGGUACUUAUAUGUCAAAUACUGUGCUAAGCAAUUUGUAAGUACUCAAUGACUCUUGGCUUUUGUUGCACCGAGCCUUUUACUGGGCUGUCUGCCCUAUGCAGAGCACAGCUGUACAUCAUCAGUGUUGGGUUGAAUGUUG